rnacentral:rRNA from 1 species
UUCCUUUUGAAAAAAUAAAAGGUAAGCCCUGCCCACUGGAAACCCUAAAUGGCCGCAGUACUUUGACUGUGCUAAGGUAGCAUAAUUAUUUGGCUUUUAAUUGGAGUCUGUAUGAAUGGGUAUUUGUAAAUUUAUUGUCUUAUUUAAGUUUUAUUUAAAUUAGUUAAUGGGUGAAAAUACCUAUUAUUUGAAAAAAGACGAGAAGACCCUUGGAAUUUUUUUUUUGUUGGGGCAACAUUUGAGCACAAAAAAAUCUCAAAGAAAAAUCAAAAAAAGACCGUUUUUUCAUGUAAUAAAAAAUUACCCAAGGGAUAACAGCAUAAUCUUUUUUUAGGAUUGUGACCUCGAUGUUGGACUAAGAAAUUCCAGGAUAGUCUUCUGGGAAUUUAUGCUCUGUUCGAGCAGUAAAAUCUU